CUCACGUUUCCUUGAUGACUUUUCCCAGACACUUAAUUACACUUUUGUGGUUUUGCUUUCUAAUUUCAACCAAUUUAUGGCUUUUAGGUACACGAGAUGAUUAUGUAAUGACAGAAGUAAAAAAAAAAAGUGUUGUCAGGCCUCCUGUAGCUCCUGGGGUUUGAUUAAGGAGCCAUCUGUCCUGUUUGAUUUAAGAUUAAGAACUCCUCCAUCUGAUGUCUUCAGUCUUGAUUAGAUUCUGGAUUAUAUCUGAGACGGAACAUGAAGUUCACAACAAAGAUUAUGUGUUUUUCUUUCCCAGUCAGGGGGGUUGUUUAACAAUAAUCAUACAAUAAUUACAUUUCUUAAAAAAUUUCUUUACAAAAUACUGACUCAUAACACUCUUUUUUUCUGCAUACUGUAAAUAAAUGUGAAUUAUGCACAUUGCAUGGGUGAACAACGUUUGUAAAGCCUACAUCUAAAUCAACUUUAUCUUCUGUAACAAAGCGGCUGAAGAGGAUUAUGCUACUGUUGCCACAGAAACUUAGUGACCAGUGGAAAGAGAGAGUGUGUGAGUGGGGGGUGUCCAUGAAGAGGGUAGAAGCAGACGGAGAGGCGAUUCAAUCAGACGUACAGACAACCCUUCGCCCCCACACAGCAGACGGGUUUUAUUGAGGUGACACAGAUUCCUAAAGAGUCCAACAAGUCUGCCACCAUGCUGCACCCUUUAAUCAUCGGCAUUGUGACCGCAAACACCUCUCUGACCGUAUUCUAUUGGAUUUUCAUCCUGGGCGAUGCCUACUUCAGGUGGCUGGACGAGCCAGAAGACAAACCCCAGAAGGUGGUCACCGCAGCCUGAGGGAGACACAGUCAAUAUGGACUGACUGAAUGACUGUGUGUCAUUCCUUUUUGCUUAGAUCUAGUCAGAAACAGCGGUUCAUCUGGUAGUGCUUUCUGUUGAGUCUGCUUUUGCAUUCAAUCUGCUUUUUGUAUUGCAUGGAGAAGAUUUGGAAACCCCUUUUGGUUAACUUACCUUUUUUUUUACUUAACUGAAUUGAUCCUGCAAGUGAAUGAGGAGGGAGUCAUUCUUACAGAGCCGACUGAGCACUGCACGCACCCAUUUGGAAGUCCUUUCAUUCACAAGUCACAGAAAAGAGCUGAGGAGUUUCAAGUCUUGAUUACAAGACUGGAUUCUUGGGCCCAAACCAGUGGAAGAUGAUUCAGAGGAAGGGAGAACAGAAAUAGAAGAAGAGCGGCGACAGAGCGUUUCCAGUAAGCUGAUGGAGAAAGACAAGCUGGAGAUAGAGAAGGAAAAGGCUGGGCCGCUGCCUGGUUUCAACCGGGAAAGCGGAGGCUGCCGCCGUCCAUCCACCCCUCCCCCACUGAAAAGCGCCAUCGCUUCAUCAUACCCUGGAGAAAAAAGAACAUCUAUUCAUAGUGUGACAUUCGCCUGCCCCAUGACCCCUUAUGCCACUUCACUUUGAUUUUUGCAACAUUGCUUUUUUUUUUACAGCAGUGGUUCAGAUUAGUUUUUGUCCUCUAUGUCAUUUCAGUGCAGUGAUCAGUGUUGUCGCUUUGCUGUAGUGAUGCAUAAGCUAAGGCAAUUUUGUUUUAUUUACAACACACUUGUAGUUUGUAGUGAUUUUGCUAAGAAACAAAUGCUUACUUUGGUUGCUUAUUAAAAUUGUAUAUAAACGUGGUCCAUAUUGUCACUCAUUCAAAAUACAUUGCACUACAUUAUUGUUUGCUGCCCAAACAAUUUCUCAUGCUAAAAACAUAAAUGAUGUACAAUGUGAACAAAGAUAUUAAUGUGGGCCGUCAAAAAUUACAUCCUAUUUUAAUAGCUGACAUUUAUAUCUGAAAGUAUACAACUUUAAAACACGUUUCAAUGAAAAUGUCAGAUUUGCCAAGAAAGUUUUGUAAAACUGCAUAUAAGUUGCCAUUUCUGUACAUUUUCCUCACUGACCAGGCAAACUGUCAUACUGUUAACAUGCUGUAAUUAACCCACUAUGUGACACAUGUUGCUGAAAUGUAUCGCUGAAGAAAAAAAUCAUGUCAUUUUCCCUGUUCCCUGUUCUUGUGUUGGACUAAGCUUCUCUCCAGUAAACAAAUGGAUAAUACAA